rnacentral:tRNA from 1 species
UGUAGCUCAGUGGUAGUGCGCUUGCCUCUCAUGCACAAGGCCCUGGGUUCGAUUCCCAGCA